rnacentral:rRNA from 1 species
UACGUAGGGUGCAAGCGUUGUCCGGAAUUAUUGGGCGUAAAGAGCUCGUAGGCGGUUUGUUGCGCUCGGCUGUGAAAUCCCGAGGCUCAACCUCGGGUCUGCAGUCGAUACGAGCAAACUAGAGUGUUGCAGGGGAGACUGGAAUUCCUGGUGUAGCGGUGAAAUGCGCAGAUAUCAGGAGGAACACCGGUGGCGAAGGCGGGUCUCUGGGCAACAACUGACGUGGAG